rnacentral:rRNA from 1 species
UACGAAGGGGGGCUAGCGUUGCUCGGAAUCACUGGGCGUAAAGGGUGCGUAGGCGGGUUUUUAAGUCAGAGGUGAAAUCCUGGAGCUCAACUCCAGAACUGCCUUUGAUACUGAAAGUCUUGAGUAUGGGAGAGGUGAGUGGAACUGCGAGUGUAGAGGUGAAAUUCGUAGAUAUUGGGAAGAACACCAGUGGCGAAGGCGGCUCACUGGCUCGUAACUGACGCUCAGGCGCGACAGCGUGGGGAUCAAACAGG